rnacentral:pre_miRNA from 1 species
UAUAAGUGUAACCAUGAGUUUCUAUAUCGAACUUUGAACGUCCGUCUUAUUUAAAUUUAGUAUUUUUAUUGUUAUGAGAUGAUAAAACAUGAAUAGAACUUUGUGCGUGACUUAUGUUUUUAUUUUUAAAAAAAUAAAAAUAAAUAAGAUAAAUAUUUAAAGUUGGACACGAAAAAN